UCGAGCUAGUGGCUUUGAGGAAUGAGGAAAAACUUGUGGUUUUACCCCAACGUCCAAGAAUUAGACGCAGCUUCAAGGGGGGGUGGGGAUUGUCUGGACUUAAAAAUAGGCAUACAACACGUCUAGUGAGGAGAUAUGACCGCCCAUUAAAAGGACAAAAUAGGAGCCCGGCUGUGGGUCAGGGCAGAUACCUUCAAGGCUUUUCCCAGCCAGGCCCGGCCCCGGGGCUGCUGCUUGCUGUUGAGGUUGAGGGCUGAUAAAGAAAGACUUCCUCCAACUUCUAAGGUCCACAAAGAGCAGAGAACAUCCUGGUGCUCUCUCCUCUGGUACUCUGCUGUGCAACUCUAACUGCCUGGGUCUCAGAGCUCCAUCACCGUCUGCUCAAAGUGUGGAGACAGCUGGGCUGAGCCAGGAUUCUCCUCCCCAUGUUACGCCUUGGAAACUCUCUCCAGGCAGUAAGCUGGGGUUUUUGAUUUUGUUUGUGUAAGUUCCUGUCUCUGAAUGAACAUGGAUUAAAGGGGAAUGGAUGGGAGUGGCUGCGGUGAAGAGGAACCCCGGUGUGAUUGGUUGUUCAGAGUUCAGAUCCCGGUUCCUGGAAUGAGGGGCAGAACUGCAAGGAUGCACGAAAUAUCUUCCGACCUUUGUGAAGUGGUCUCUGUUUCCUGAGGUGAAACCUGGCUAUGCUUGAGGAGGAGCCUGAGGUAGGUGCGCCUUCCACCCAGCUCUACCUGCCGGAUCAUUAAUGGCGUCUGCCCGUAUUUUCCGUGAGGUUAUCUGUCAAGCCUAGUUUGGGGGAUGGUGUGAAUCUUUGUGCUUUCCUGGGAGGCUGAGAAAAGUUGCAUUUUAGGGUUGCUGAUUAGAUCUCAUUAAAAUAAAAAAAUUUAUUAUUAUUUUUUGUUAGACACUGAGAUGAUUUUCCUCAAGGUAGCAUAAAUAAUGACUGUUAAAUAUAUGCUUUUUUCUCAAUCAGCUGUAUGUUAGGAACCAGCACUAAAAGAAAUUAGAAGAGGAGUUUUGUAUUUUCUCAUUUGGUUGAGACUAUUUAAAGCCUUUCCUCCUCUUAGCUACAAUAGAGUCUCUGCUUUCUGUCCUAAUGAAGCGACG
rnacentral:lncRNA from 1 species